UACGAAGGGGGCUAGCGUUGCUCGGAAUCACUGGGCGUAAAGGGUGCGUAGGCGGGUCUUUAAGUCAGGGGGGAAAUCCUGGAGCUCAACUCCAGAACUGCCUUUGAUACUGAGGAUCUUGAGUUCGGGAGAGGUGAGUGGAACUGCGAGUGUAGAGGUGAAAUUCGUAGAUAUUCGCAAGAACACCAGUGGCGAAGGCGGCUUACUGGUCCGGUACUGACGCUGAGGUGCGAAAGCGUGGGGAGCAAACAGG
rnacentral:rRNA from 1 species